UUUUUUUUAAUUUUUGACUGACUUCUCAUCAAUUUAGCUGUCACAAAACAAUGAAGGAACAUCUCCCAUGUGACAAGCCAUGUGGAUAGGAAAAGAGGUUCAGUAAAGCAUUCUCUACCCAAGAAAGUUAUGGUUAACUUGUGAAUGCUUUGAAAAACAGUCUACUAAAAGGUAUAAUCCAGUCAACUGAUAAGUGAAGGAAAAUAAUAGCAAACAAAGAAAUAUCUUAUAAUAAGCACUUAAACACAAAAUUAAUGCUAAGUAUUUUUAAAUAUUGAUAUGUACAUAUAUAUACAUAUAUUCUAAAACUUCCAAGGGAAACUGAAUAGAAAAUAAACAGUAAUAUAACAUAACAAAAUAUAGCAAAAUGCUUGGAGGAGGUUCUUUAGACUCAAUUUAAAAUGAUUUCCUGUGCUCAUCACAGGUAUUGAAUAGGAAAAUCAACGCAUUACAAGCUGGAGAAUGUGUGAAAAUAAACGAACUUCUCAUGAAAUUUUCUAAACAUUACAGAUCGCACAGGCUGUAAGAUAAAAUGCUAACUCUGUGCCUGCAAAGACACCUGGACAAAAGAUACUGAAGAAAAGGGGGAACAGGGAAACCACUACAGAAUUAGGAGAACAGAUGUGUUUGAACAGUCCAGCAGAGAUAAGCAUGAGGAACAGCAGGAUGGCGGAAAUGUGGACCACAACCACAAGCAGAAAUGGUCUUGAAUACCCAUGUAGGCCUCUCAUUCUACCUAACACAAAUAUCCUUUCCAACCUUAAACUAAGAAGGCCAGAUUUCUUCGUGUUUAGCCUAUCAAAGCCCAUCCCUAUGAUGUAAGACAGAUUCCACAAUUUCACAUUGUUCUUAAAGGUGUUAUCAGCUGACACAUUUUAAGGACUGGCAAAGAAAUAAAAUAUGUGUAAAUUUAAAUGCAUUAAUAUUGCCAAUCACCACUAAGACUUUUGAGAAUCUUUUUAAACCUGACAUCGCCAAUGUAUGUAUAAUAAACAUGAGCAAAAAAGUUUAUAACAUGCAAACAAAAUGCUAGGAAAAGUGGAGAAUGAAAUUAAUAUGUAUCUAGGUUGCUAAAUUACAGUGAGAAUGUCAAAUCUAGAGUGCAGCCUGCUUUUAUAAAUAAAAUUUUAUUUGAACACUGCCAUACCCAUUUAUUAACAAAGCAUUUACAGCAUUUUGGAGCCAAAUGGCACAAAUGACUCUAUCUAUAUAUAGAGAGAGAGAAAGUUUAAAGUUCCAUUAUAUGAGUAAAGUUUCUCCAAUAAAUGUGGGAGGGACACUACUGUAUUAAUUCUUCCCUGAAGGAAUUAGGCUGGGAAACAUAACUUGAAUAAUUCUAUUAAGUUAUAUAGGCUACCACAUAUUAAGGAUAAAAACAAUGU